AAAUACUAUCAUUAUGAGAAUUAUUUUUAAUAGCCAAAUUAGUCAAACCAAACAGAAGUCUUAUUUUCAUAUAAAUGAAACCACCAGGCUUUAAAAAUUUAAACACCUUAUACAAAUAUUUCUAAGGUCAGUUAGGUCAUUUCUCUUAAUCAGCGUGAUUUUGAUGACGCUUGUCUCAUGGAACGAAGGAGCCGUCCUGACAAAACGUGAGAGUGGUAUUGUCGAAAAUUCUCUCUCAGAAACUUCCAGCAUUACUCCAAUUUCAACAACACAAAAUUUUUAUUUGACAAUUGGAGAGUACACUUCUUUACAAAGUUGUGGGGAUCAGCUGGAAAACAGGUUUUCAGCGGUCUGCGAUGGAGUGUACUACACACCGGACAAUCAGAAAAGGAAACGCUUUAUAGAUCCAGUACUGGCAUGGCUCUCCGGUGAAAGUCGCGCAGUUGAUGAACACAAAAUUCGUAGAAGAGGGGCCGUCAAUGACUGCUGUUACAGACCCUGCACGAAUGCGUAUAUUAAACAUUAUUAUCGUGGACCGGCUCCAACACAACGACCUUUGUAAAAUAUCCUUUCGGAAUAUGGAAGUUUAAGGAUACAAUCACAGAGAAGAAUUCAAGAAUGUUAAAUAAAUUAAUAAUAUAUUAAUAAAUAUAUUAAUGAAUAUGGAAGUUUAAGGAUACAAUCACAGAAAAGAAUUCAAG